GAGAGACAGGAGCGAUGGAUGGUCUGAGUUAGCGGGGUCCCGGCACCACCCAGCGCAAAGGCACUGCACUCACGCACGCCAUGCACAUGCUGGCUCACCUCCUCCAUCCCAUGCCUCCCCUGUCUCCAGCAUUCCCUCUGGAAUACAUCAGCACUGUUGCCUUUGAGGCUGGCCUGCUUGAAUGCACACCUGAGCUCCGGAUUCACAGCAAUUUCUUGGAUGAUUCACAGUGGAGGAAGCCAGAUGCCAUGUCAUGAGGGUGCUCAAGCAACUUUUUGGAGAUGUAUGUAUGGAGAGAAACUGAGGCCUCCUGCCAACAGCCAGCACUAACUUGGCAAGCAUGUUUGAGAGCCACCUGGGAAGUGGAGCCUUCAGCCCCAGUUAAGCCUUCAGAUGAGACUGCAGUCCUGGCCACCAUCUGGACUGCAACUUCACAAGAGCUCCUAAGCCAGAGCCAUGCAGAUGGAUUCUUGGCCCCCAGAAAUUGUGCCACUACAUUUUGGGAAAUUUAUUAUGCAGCCAUAGAUUACCAAUACACUCACUAUUUCUUUUUUCUGAUGCCAUACUAUA
rnacentral:lncRNA from 1 species